UACGUAGGGUCCGAGCGUUGUCCGGAAUUAUUGGGCGUAAAGGGCUCGUAGGCGGUUGGUCACGUCGGGAGUGAAAACUCAGGGCUCAACCCUGAGCGUGCUUCCGAUACGGGCCGACUAGAGGUAUGCAGGGGAGAACGGAAUUCCUGGUGUAGCGGUGGAAUGCGCAGAUAUCAGGAGGAACACCAGUGGCGAAGGCGGGUCUCUGGGCAGUAACUGACGCUGAGGAGCGAAAGCGUGGGGAGCGAACAGG
rnacentral:rRNA from 1 species